rnacentral:rRNA from 1 species
ACGAACGCUGGCGGCGUGCUUAACACAUGCAAGUCGAACGGAAAGGCCCUGCUUGCAGGGUACUCGAGUGGCGAACGGGUGAGUAACACGUGGGUGAUCUGCCCUGCACUUCGGGAUAAGCUUGGGAAACUGGGUCUAAUACCGGAUAGGAGCCAUCUUUAGUGUGGUGGUUGGAAAGUUUUUUCGGUGUAGGAUGAGCUCGCGGCCUAUCAGCUUGUUGGUGGGGUAAUGGCCUACCAAGGCGGCGACGGGUAGCCGGCCUGAGAGGGUGUACGGCCACAUUGGGACUGAGAUACGGCCCAGACUCCUACGGGAGGCAGCAGUGGGGAAUAUUGCACAAUGGGCGCAAGUCUGAUGCAGCGACGCCGCGUGGGGGAUGAAGGCCUUCGGGUUGUAAACUCCUUUCGCUAGGGACGAAGCUUUUUUGUGACGGUACCUAGAUAAGAAGCACCGGCUAACUACGUG